rnacentral:misc_RNA from 1 species
UUGAAAUUAUAGGUGACGGUUGUAGCUGGCCUUUCGGGGCAUGUGCACGCCGGAGCCCUUAAUCCACACACACCUGUGAACCCAAUGUAAGGGCCCGUAAAAAAGGCCUUUAUGUCUUAUCAUCAACCCCAUCGUAUGUCUCAUAGAAUGUAAAUCAAUAUCCUCGCCUUAAAAAAGCGUUGAUAAACUUUAUA